UUGAAAGAGAACUUCAAUUUCUGAGGUAAAUAAACAAGCUAAGUUCUGAGGGAUUCUCACUACCAAACCAAUCAUUGCAUGUCUAAUUUUUUUUGUUAAAU